rnacentral:rRNA from 1 species
CGGUUGAUCCUGCCGGAGGCUAUUGCUAUCAGGGUUUGACUAAGCCAUGCGAGUCGAGAGGUGAAAGACCUCGGCAUACUGCUCAGUAACACGUGGAUAAUCUGCCCUCAGGUGAGGAAUAAUCCCGGGAAACUGGGGCUAAUCCCUCAUAGGAGACGGGUGCUGGAAUGCUCUGUCUCUGAAAGGUCCGCCGCCUGAGGAUGAGUCUGCGUCCGAUUAGGUUGUUGUUGGGGUAACGGCCCACCAAGCCAUUGAUCGGUACGGGUUGUGAGAGCAAGAGCCCGGAGAUGGAUUCUGAGACAUGAAUCCAGGCCCUACGGGGCGCAGCAGGCGCGAAAACUUUACAAUGCGAGCAAUCGUGAUAAGGAAACCCUGAGUGCCUGUCAAUGCAGGCUGUUCUGGUGUUUAGUCAGCACCAGGAGAAAGGGCGGGGCAAGACCGGUGCCAGCCGCCGCGGUAAUACCGGCUGCUCGAGUGAUAGCCACUUUUACUGGGCUUAAAGCGUUCGUAGCUUGGUCGUUAAGUCUCUGGGGAAAUCUUUUGGCUCAACCAAAAGACGUCUCAGAGAAACUGGCGACCUUGGGACCGGGAGAGGUAAGACGUACUUCGGGGGUAGGAGUGAAAUCUUGUAAUCCCCGAGGGACGACCGAUGGCGAAGGCAUCUUACCAGAACGGCUCCGACAGUGAGGGACGAAAGCUGGGGGAGCAAACCGGAUUAGAUACCCGGGUAGUCCCAGCCGUAAACGAUGUGCGUUAGGUGUGUCAGUGACCACGAGUCACUGAGGUGCCGAAGGGAAACCGUGAAACGCACCGCCUGGGAAGUACGGUCGCAAGGCUGAAACUUAAAGGAAUUGGCGGGGGAGCAC